UAUAGCAGCCAGAGCAGAAUAAUGCAAUUAAUAAACAUUUUUUCCAGAUAAGCUAAAUUUGUUCUUCUAAGUAUAAAACCUUUGAAAAUAUUACUGCAUUUGUAAGGAUACACACAAGUGUAUGCACAUGUGCACACAUAUGCACACACACUUUUUUUGUGUGGUGCUGAGGUUGAACCCAGAGCUUCAAGCAUGCUAGGCAAGUGCUCUACCACCAAGCUACACCCUCCAGCUCCAAGAAGAAUGUAUUCUAAGUUGUAUCUAUAAAUGAUAAUGUAAUGAAUCCCUUGUUGAGCCCAUCAGGUCCUAUCUUUCUAUCAUACAUGAUGCAGCACUGCCAGGCCCACAGACUAGAGGGACAGUUACCUUCUGUCCCUGAUCCCCGAUCCUGAUGCUGUUAGUUUUUAGGAUUUUUGUUUUGCCUUGGUCCCCUGCCCUGCUGCUUCAGGCUGUCACUUCCUUCUGCUUGUCAUGUAUUCACUUCUAGCAACCUCCUGCCUUCCUCCCAAGGUAGCUGGACAACAAAUAAGCAAGUUUGCUUGAUUUCUGUGUGAUAGAGUAAACAGGCCUGAAGGAAAACCUAGAGAACAAAGGACAUGUGUUUUUCUUAUGCACAAAUUUAGUGACACUUCUUGUAGCUCCUGAGAGAACAUUUUAACCUCCUUCCUGGACAUUGGCAGCCUGGAAGACAGUCAAAAUUGCCAUCUAAAUGACCUACUGAUGAGAUGUUGCUCUUUUGGCCAAAAUGAUGGGGAAUCCUCUGUAGAUGUGAGGGUCUCUCAGGGACCCGGAUUGGGAGUUCUUGGUGUGUUUCACCUGGGUCCCCUCUGCCCACCAGAGCCUGCAGUCUUUCAGCGCAUAGUGGCUGCUGAGUGGAAUUGCUGUCAGGAGCACUGCCCUUCAUGCCUCCUCCUCUUGACAUUCUGCCGAAUUUGUAACUCUGGUGGGAGACAGAUGCAAUUUAUCUGUCCUACUUCUCUAUGAAGAUCCAGAAAGAUACACUCAUUUCCUAGAAUUCAUUGGGAACCAUCAAAAAUGUCAGGGCCCAUGAACAGACUGGCAAGGCAAUUUUUCCAAUGUCAAAACAAAAUCUCGAGGACCAAAAUUGAAGUUGGGCAAAUUGGCCCAGAGAAGCCUCUGGCAUGGAUUCAAAACUGCCUGUGGCUCCCCUGGGACUAGGAGGACAGGGUAUGUUGGUACCUUCAGCAAAGAUGCUCAGUUUGAAUUGAAGACACUUUAAUUUAUGUGAAGUGAUUUCUCUCCAGUUUAACUCGGAGCAGGGCUGCCCUGGGAACCAGGUACCUGAUAUCUCUGCCCUGUGUACAGACCAAGCGUGUUUAUGGAUUCCUAGGCAGCAGUCUUGGUAGCCCAGGGGAGGGUAAAGUGGCCUGGUCAUACUUCUGCUCAUAUUCCCUGCCAUUUCCAGAACCCCAGGUCUUUCCAUUCCUUGUCUUUCUCCCGGUAUUUUAACUCUGACAGCCUUGCUCUAGAGAGAAGAGAUACCGAGAAAUGCAAUUAGGUGGAGGACCAGUGAAGCACCAGAAGUGUGAGAACGCUUCUGGACCUUCAGCCCUACCCAGGCCCCAGAAGACUGUGUCCACAUAGCUGUCUGUGCCCAUCCCACAGCAGAUGAGUCAUGUUACCCCAUAGAACUACAAACAGAGGAUGGCUACUGUUGCAAACCAUUACAUCUUGAGAUGAACUGCUUUGGAGCAAGGGUAACUGGAGCAGGUAUUCUAGGAGAGAUGCAAAGCAGAAAAAUGAUUCCCAGUCUUCACGGGAAGGCCUUAUUAUUUAGGAUUCCUGUUCAGUGCCUACUUUGAAGGUGCCAGAGAAGCAAGAAGAAUUGAGAGAAAUAAGAUCCCCUCCUUGAUCUUGUGACGGUGAGUACAGUACUGUGUUGGUAGCAGCUUUGGGAUAUUGUGUUUUGUCUUCCCAUCCCAUCACCUCUACCAGAUGCCCAUCUCUGUGUGCAUGAGAUAGUCAACACUUUAUUAUAAAACAGACUUUGUGUUGGAUGAUUUUGCCCAGUUGUAAAAGUUAUGAUAUUUGGUAGGUUUAGUGUAUUUAAUGUAUUUUGAGUUAUAUUUUCAACUUAUAAUGGGUUUCUCUGAAUAUAAGCCCUUUUCAAGUUGAGGAACUAGAACAAUGUCAGACAGACUACUCAGGAUUCUAAAUUUUAUGGGCCUUGCCUGCACCACCUCAGUGUCACUGGACAGGGCCUGAGGAGGUUCCCAAAGCUGAGAUCAGGAACCUAACCUACCCUACUUGCAAAAUGUUUGCUGGUUCUCUGAAUUCUAUCACAGAAAAAGAGUUUCCAGGAAUAGUCAGUAAGAGACAUAGGAAAGGUUUUAUUAGGUAAAAAUUAAAAGGUAGAUGCUCAAAGAAAUAGAUUACAGACCCUUAAGAGAAAGUGGUACCUUAUUUCCUGAAACUGGGGACAUUUAUGUUUCUCUUGAGGGAGUAGAAACCCUGGGAAAAGGUGGCUCAGCCCUGAGAAGGGUACUGGCCCAUCUUACAGGUAUGGAUCCAGUUUGUGUUUUUUUAAAAUAGAUAACUGAAAUAUUUUUCAGAUUCUCUCAACAUGUUCCUUUAUCGUAGGAUCAGGUUCUUGCCUUUUACUUUCUCGGUCAAGCCAAUUUAUGGACUUUCAGUAUUCCUGAGGAAUGUUGAUGGGUCUGGAAGGAAAGGAGUCUAAAUUCAGUGUAACCAAGGGAAUGGUGAUAUGGAUCGCCUCGGGCAACUUUGACUGGGUCACAGACAUUGCAGUGUUCUUAAAAGAACAAUUCUUAAAAGUGAUGAUGAUGGUAAUGAAUGAUGACAAUGACACUGCAAAAGGCAUCACUGCUAUUCUGUCAGCUAUCCACUCUGGCACACAUCACUUCAUUGUGAUGUAGGGUCCAAGGGGGUCUCCUAAGGAGGAGAUGAGGACUUCAACUCACUCCAGGCACAAGUGGCCUCAAAGUGAAAAAGAAGUGAUGCUAGCAAUUCCGAUAUGCCAAAGAGAAACUGUAAAGUGCUUCCUUUAAGUAAAAAGGGUUAUGCUCUGCUAACGCUGCCGGAAAUGACUUGGAUUAAAUGACAUGAAUCGGGAAGCCAGGGCCAUCAGAAGUGGUUUUGUGAAGAAACACAGGGAAGGUCACCAGGUCACUCUCAUCCCUUCAUUCUCUCUCUCUGAAUACCUGAUAGACUGUAAAAUAGAGCUCACCGAACGCACCAAGUCUGUGUGUACUUUCAGUAUCUAAGGAGUAAACACCCUGUGAAGUGUCAGCUGGGACCAGGAGCAUGAUUGCUACCACUGAGGCCCCCACAGAUCCCCUGUCACUGAUGCCUCCGUCCCCCCGGGGUGCGGAAAACUUCCGUGGAAGGAGCUGUCUAAAGGGAACACGGAGUA